rnacentral:lncRNA from 1 species
CUCAUUGGCCCCUUCCAAAGUAUGGGGAUACAGCAGGAAGUUGCCAUCUAUGAGCCAGAAGGGUGAACCUCACCCCAGAUGCUGAAUCUGCCUUGAUAUUGGACUUCCCAGCCUGCACAACUGACAAACUGGAAACACAGGUUAUAUCACCAAGGCUUUGACUGAAACAUCAUGUUUUCAGAUAUGACCAGAAGGCUUUAGGGGACUAAGGUUGGCUUUAUGGAACCAAUAAAGUACCAUCUUGGAAAAACUGGCUCUAGGGUUCCCAGACUUACAGAAACUAAACUUCCCACAUUAAAGGCCUGAUAGCUCACACUAUCCAGGAAAUAUCCUCUGCUACCAAGUCCCAACAGAUGAUUCAACUGGUCCUUAAUGAAUAAAAGGUGAUCAAACAAGAAAAGAGACUUAUACUGUUUGAAGGAAAGAUGAAUGUCUCUUCUUUCCUUAAACAAGAAGUAGUACUAACAAAGAUUCCUUGCUUGGCCAAACUUUAGUCAGAUGUCUAUCUUCCUUGCAAAAUCCAACUUUUUUUUUUUUAUGUCGUACAAUGUGA